rnacentral:tRNA from 1 species
UGGAUCACCUCCUAACAGGGAGACAACAAAAUGUUUAAUAUUAUUAUUUUGUCACCUUAGGUCGAUCGGUAUCUCACGUUCUUAAUUAUUAAGAAUUUCAUUUCCUAAGUUUUUCUAGGUCACACCCAUUACUUUUCCUGGGCCAUUAGCUCAGGUGGUUAGAGCGCACCCCUGAUAAGGGUGAGGUCCCUGGUUCAAGUCCAGGAUGGCCCAUAUCUCUAUGUUGGGGGUAUAGCUCAGUUGGUAGAGCGCCUGCUUUGCAAGCAGGAUGUCAGCGGUUCGAGUCCGCUUACCUCCACUGAUUACCACCUCUUCCAUAAUCUGGAUAAAGGAAAUGUUUUGAGUUGUGAUCAAAUUCUGAACGAAUCUAGCUUCCUAAUGAAGUCAUUAAGAUGCUGGAUUCAUUGAAUUAAUUUCAAUGUUUUCAGAGAACCUUGACAACUGCAUAGAUUAUUUUUAAAGACAAUAAGCAUCUUUAAUGAUGCAGAUUUAUUAUUUGUGCGAAUGCAUUAAUAACAAUUCUAUUAAGCUGAUGCUUCAAUUUUGAAGUUAUUGGUCAAGCUACAAAGGGCUCACGGAGGAUACCUAGGCACACAGAGGCGAUGAAGG